UACGAAGGGGGCUAGCGUUGCUCGGAAUCACUGGGCGUAAAGGGUGCGUAGGCGGGUCUUUAGGUCAGGGGUGAAAUCCUGGAGCUCAACUCCAGAACUGCCUUUGAUACUGAAGAUCUUGAGUUCGGGAGAGGUGAGUGGAACUGCGAGUGUAGAGGUGAAAUUCGUAGAUAUUCGCAAGAACACCAGUGGCGAAGGCGGCUCACUGGCCCGAUACUGACGCUGAUGCACGAAAGCGUGGGGAGCAAACAGG
rnacentral:rRNA from 1 species